UACAGAGGUCUCAAGCGUUGUUCGGAUUCAUUGGCGUAAAGAGCGUGUAGGCGGUUCGGUAGGUCCGUUGUGAAAACUCGAGCUCAACCUCGAGACGCCGAUGGAAACCCUCGAACUAGAGUCCGGAAGAGGAGAGUGGAAUUCCAGGUGUAGCGGUGAAAUGCGUAGAUAUCUGGAGGAACACCGGUGGCGAAGGCGGCAUCCUGGACCACGCUGACGCUGAGUGAGCGAAA
rnacentral:rRNA from 1 species